rnacentral:lncRNA from 1 species
UCCUCAAACACUACAAGGAGACCGGUUCAUCAAGCCUGGAUGCAGCAAUGAUAUGCCACCAAAGACUUCUGCCAGAGAAGAUAAAAAUUUUGCAUCAUCUUGUUGUUAAACACCAUACAUUCAUGGAAGCUUCAGAACUAUGGAUCAUACAUAUAGGCCAAUCUGUUAGUAGCAGGUUACACAUCAUGAAAUAUGGCUCUUACAAGAGUAAGCAAAAACUUAUAUUGACAUCAGUUCAGCAAAAGAAGAGAUUGGCAUGGACCAGAAACCACCUAUCCUGGAUAGAGGCUGACUGAGAGAUGAUGAUAUAGUCUGAUGAGUCUCCCUUCCCAGUCAUAUAUGGGAAUAUUGAAUGGAGAGUCAUC